GACGAACGCUGGCGGCGUGCUUAACACAUGCAAGUCGAACGGAAAGGCCCUGCUUUUGUGGGGUGCUCGAGUGGCGAACGGGUGAGUAACACGUGAGUAACCUGCCCUUGACUUUGGGAUAACUUCAGGAAACUGGGGCUAAUACCGGAGAGGAGCUCCUGCUGCAUGGGGGGGGUUGGAAAGUUUCGGCGGUUGGGGAUGGACUCGCGGCUCAUCAGCUUGUUGGUGGGGUAGUGGCUUACCAAGGCUUUGACGGGUAGCCGGCCUGAGAGGGUGACCGGCCACAUUGGGACUGAGAUACGGACCAGACUCCAACGGGAGGCAGCAGUGGGGAAUAUUGCACAGUGGGCGGAAGCCUGAUGCAGCAACGCCGCGUGCGGGAUGACGGCCUUCGGGUUGUAAACCGCUUUCGACUGUGACGAAGAGUGAGUGACGGUAAUGGGUAAAGAAGCACCGGCUAACUACGUG
rnacentral:rRNA from 1 species